UUCGCAAUGCCCGAAAGGGUGACGAAGCGACGCCGCGUGUGGGAAGAAGGCCUUCGGGUUGUAAACCACUGUCGGGAGUUAAGAAGUGUAAGGGUGUUAAGAGCAUCCUUGCUUGACGUUAGCUCCGGAGGAAGCCACGGCUAACUCUGUGCCAGCAGCCGCGGUAAUACAGAGGUGGCAAGCGUUGUUCGGAAUUAUUGGGCGUAAAGAGCACGUAGGCGGCCCUGCAAGUCAGCUGUGGAAUCCUUCUGCUCAACGGAAGAACGGCAGUUGAUACUACAGGGCUCGAGUGCGGGAGGGGAGAGUGGAACUUCUGGUGGAGCGGUGAAAUGCGUAGAUAUCAGAAGGAACAUCGGCGGCGAAAGCGACUCUCUGGCCCGUAACUGACGCUGAGUGUGCGAAAGCUAGGGGAGCAAACGGGAUUAGAUACCCCGGUAGUCCUAGCCGUAAACGAUGGGCACUAAGUAGAGGGGUUUU
rnacentral:rRNA from 1 species